AUGGGCACCAGACUCCUCUGCUGGGUGGUCAUCUGGCUCCUGGGGGCAGGUCCCAUGAAUGCUGGCGUCACCCAGAACCCGAGACGCCUGGUGAGAAGGACAGGACAAAAAGCAGCCCUGAGAAAGGACAUAGUUAUUUUUACUGGUAUCAGCAGCCCCUGGGGGAAGGUCUGAAAUUUAUGGUUUACCUCCAGAAUGAAAAUACCGUAGACGACUCAGGAAUGCCAAAAAAACGCUUUUCUACUGAAUUUUCCAAAGAGGGACUCAGCAUCUUAAAGAUGCAGAGUCCCAUCCUCCCAAUGCACAAACAUCUUCCAGGCCCCACCUCGGAAACCGCUGUGGGCUGGGGGAGGGGAGGGGACAUGUGGUUUGAUUAG